UCCAAAUCCAUACUCAAUAUGUUUCAACAACCCAAAGGCUGUGAUUUCUUCAUCAGAAAUCUCAAAAUAAUUUCAUGAAUAGAUAAAUAUUAUAUACUUGUACGAGUAUUUUGGAAAAAUUACAUCAGUAUGUGAUCCUAGAUAAGAUAUCAAAUAGGUAAUAAAUCAAACAGAUAAGGUGGAUAUUUAAAUUUUGAGUGUUCAGUUUUCAUCUCAAAAUCAUCAUUACCUUUGACAGAUAUUUAAUCAAUAAAUUGUAAUUUGAUUCAAUGAAGGCAUUUGGUAUUCAUUCUGGGUAUGUUCAAGAUAAUUUCCAAUGUAAAAAGUGUAGGUGUAUGAAGCUACCUGUGUGUUUGUUUUGUACCAUAAAUUUACCUGGAUAAUGAAAAGCAACCUAUUAGUUGUUUUAAUUUUGGUCAAAUAUGCCACAUCUAAUGGUGGGAGUGGGACACUUGACAACUCUUAUGAAAAUCUUGAUAUGAUUGAAAAAUUAGCAUGGAGAUCAAUAGGAUACUUGAAAACGCCUGAAGAUUGGCAUCAGGCAUUUGUCAAACUAGCCAAACACUACAAAGAAGACAUCAAACGUUAUAUAAAUGAAAGUCACGUGAAUGAAGCUCAAUAUAAAGAAAGCAUGGAACGAUGUAAAAAUGAAAGUUGUGUGAAUGAAGCUCUAUAUUAUAAAGAAGACAACAAACAAUUUAAAAACGAAUCUCAUAAUAUAAAUAAAAGGGAAAAUAUGAAACACCAAUUGAUCCUAAAGUUCUGUACACAACUGCUGGAAGAUGCAGAAUGGUAUUUUAAUUUAGAACACGUCUUUCCCAGUGAAGAUGAAAUGUUUACAGAUUUGCAAAAUAAUGCCUCCACAUAUACUGAUACAAUUACUCGCGACUGUUUAAUGAAAAUGAAGAAUUUGACUAAUUACAAGACGUGUAUUAAUGAGCACACCAUUAAAUGGCUGCAUUUCCUCGCAUUUUCUAAAAGAAGAUUGGCUACCGGGCUCCGGAAUAAACUUCUGGAAAGAAGUAUUGAUGCAUUUGAAUUUUGUUUAUUGGUGGGAAGAAUUUUCUCGUGCACGAGGAGUGUUGUUUAUUACUCAUAUAGUCCAAUAAAAGAUCUCAAUCCUGAAAUUGUUCAAGAAGUAUUGGUAAAUUUUGGAAUUGAGGGCUCUACAGUAUUGGAGGCAGUGAAGGUUUUGCUAGCAAUUGGAAACAUGACAAUAAUAUAUCAUGAUAAUAAUUGAAGAAUUCCACUUGUGAAACUUAUACUGGGAGUUCAUGAUGAAGGUACGAGUACAUAAUGUACAUAUAAAUAAAGCAGUGAUGAUUCUGAUUUUCAAGAUUGAGCUCAAAAGCAGUUGAAACUCCCAAGAAAAAGUUCAGAUGAACAAUUUUGAUUUCUUGCCAAAAUUUUUAUAUUAGGAAUGAAAAUAUUUUAAGCCGAUUUUGAUACCUAUACUGUACUUUUUUCAAAAUGCCUGAAAAUUGUGAGCAAUUUUUUUAUCCUGAUUUUUUCGGAGAAGUUUUUCUACUUUUAAUCGAAUCCGUGUUUGUUAAGAAUAUCGUUAUCGAGAUUUUUGUUGUGGAAGAUUUAGAAUCAGCAGGUAAUUGGUGUUUAUGAAAAGUUGAAAUUUAAACAUUCCGGUAUUUCUAGAUAACAUGGUAUCAAAAUGAUUAACAGAUUGGCAACCGAGACUGUGAAAUUUUAAUGAAUUUUCAUCAUACCACACUGUGAGGAACAUUUGAUCAGUGGAUUCCAGUUAGAUAGGUUCGGACAUUUUCUUCUAGUUGGAUAUCUCUGAGAGUAGAAUACUCUUGCCUAUAACUUUCUGUUAAAAAGACAUCCAAGAUGGAUAGCAACAUUGCAGUAUUCUCUGCAUUUUUUGUUAUUUGUGGUAUCAUGUCAUGUUGUAUGCCACUAUCAGAACCCCAUAGUGACAGCAGUGAAAAGAAAUUGAUUCCCAUCUGUGUAAAAUACCAAGCGUUACAUAAAGUCCGCUCAAAGUUUCUGGAGGAUACAGAAUAUUAUUUUGAGUUAGAACACACCUUCCCUGAUAAAGACAAAAUGUUGGAAGAUUUGAAAAAUAAUGCCUCCGCACAUACUGAAAUAAUUUCUCAGGACUGUUUGACCAAGAUAAAGAAUUCACCGAACUCGAUUUAUGUGCAUGCCGUUAAAUGGCUGCAUUUCCUCGCAUUCUCUAGUGGACCUUUGGCUAACAGACUACGGAAUAUGCUUUUGGAAAAAAAAGUUGAAGUUUUUGGAUUUUGUUCACUAGUGGGAAAGAUUUUCAAUGAUGUCAGCAAUAUUGUUUUCUAUGGUCCAGUACCGAAACUCUGUCCUGAAAUUGUCCUGGAGGGAUUAGAGUAUUUUGGAAUUAAGGAGCAUGCAACAUUGGAGUCGGUGAAGAUUUUGGUAGAAAUUGGAAACAUGUCGACUGUGCAUCGUGAAGGAAACAUGACAACUAUGCAUUGCGAUAAUUGAAGUAUUCCAGUAAGGAACCAUAAAGUAGGAGCUUCAUGUAUGAUUCUGAUUUCAUUUAUUUUUUUAAAAUUAUGCCUAAGAAUUUUGAAUGAUUAUAGUUACUUCUGUUUUAUUAUUCAACAAUCAUUGUUUCAUUAGGUACUCUUUAGUUUUGUAAUAUUUUCACAUUUUUGUACUAUUUUUCUCAGUAUUCUGAUAUUUUCCCAUAAUUUUUUUUGAAUACUUGUUUGAAUUUUAAUAAUAUUUUCUAUAAUGA